GUGCUCACUUCGGCAGCACAUAUACUAAAACUGGAACUAUACAGAGAUUAGCAUGGUCCCUGUGCAAGGAUGACAUGCAAAUUCGUGAAGCGUUCCCAUAUUAA